rnacentral:rRNA from 1 species
CCCUUAGAUGUUCUGGGCCGCACGCGCGCUACACUGAUGCAUUCAACGAGUCUAAAACCUGGUCUGAUAGGGCUGGGUAAUCUUUUGAAAGUGCAUCGUGAUUGGGAUAGAUGAUUGCAAUUCUUCAUCUUCAACGAGGAAUGCCUAGUAAACGCAAGUCAUCAGCUUGCAUUGAUUACGUCCCUGCCCUUUGUACACACCGCCCGUCGCUCCUACCGAUUGAAUGAUCCGAUGAAUACCAUGGAUUGAGAGUACGAAUGGGUUCACUCAUUUCUGCUGCUCGAGAAGUGGAGUAAAUCUUAUCAUUUAGAGGAAGGAGAAGUCGUAACA